rnacentral:rRNA from 1 species
CCUACGGAGAGCUGCAGUGGGGAAUAUUGGACAAUGGGCGAAAGCCUGAUCCAGCCAUGCCGCGUGUGUGAAGAAGGCCUUCGGGUUGUAAAGCACUUUCAGUGGGGAAGAAAGCCUUGGGGCUAAUACCCUCGAGGAAGGACAUCACCCACAGAAGAAGCACCGGCUAACUCCGUGCCAGCAGCCGCGGUAAUACGGAGGGUGCGAGCGUUAAUCGGAAUUACUGGGCGUAAAGCGCGCGUAGGCGGUCUGAUAAGCCGGUUGUGAAAGCCCCGGGCUCAACCUGGGAACGGCAUCCGGAACUGUCAGGCUAGAGUGCAGGAGAGGAAGGUAGAAUUCCCGGUGUAGCGGUGAAAUGCGUAGAGAUCGGGAGGAAUACCAGUGGCGAAGGCGGCCUUCUGGGCUGACACUGACGCUGAGGUGCGAAAGCGUGGGUAGCAAACAGGAUUAGAUACCCUGGUAGUC